UCUUCGAGUCGUUGAUUUCACACUGCCGAGAAAAGCCUCUAGAUAGAAAAUAGGUGCCCGUACCGCAAACCGACACAGGUAGUCAAGAUGAGAAUUCUAAGGUGAGCGAGCGAACUCUCGUUAAGGAACUCGGCAAAAUGACCCCGUAACUUCGGGAGAAGGGGUGCUCUUUAGGGUUAACGCCCAGAAGAGCCGCAGUGAAUAGGCCCAAGCGACUGUUUAUCAAAAACACAGGUCUCUGCUAAACCGUAAGGUGAUGUAUAGGGGCUGACGCCUGCCCGGUGCUGGAAGGUUAAGAGGAGUGGUUAGCUUCUGCGAAGCUACGAAUCGAAGCCCCAGUAAACGGCGGCCGUAACUAUAACGGUCCUAAGGUAGCGAAAUUCCUUGUCGGGUAAGUUCCGACCCGCACGAAAGGCGUAACGAUUUGGGCACUGUCUCAACGAGAGACUCGGUGAAAUCAUAGUACCUGUGAAGAUGCAGGUUACCCGCGACAGGACGGAAAGACCCCGUGGAGCUUUACUGUAGCCUGAUAUUGAAAUUCGGCACAGCUUGUACAGGAUAGGUAGGAGCCUUUGAAACGUGAGCGCUAGCUUACGUGGAGGCGCUGGUGGGAUACUACCCUAGCUGUGUUGGCUUUCUAACCCGCACCACUUAUCGUGGUGGGAGACAGUGUCAGGCGGGCAGUUUGACUGGGGCGGUCGCCUCCUAAAAGGUAACGGAGGCGCUCAAAGGUUCCCUCAGAAUGGUUGGAAAUCAUUCAUAGAGUGUAAAGGCAUAAGGGAGCUUGACUGCGAGACCUACAAGUCGAGCAGGGUCGAAAGACGGACUUAGUGAUCCGGUGGUUCCGCAUGGAAGGGCCAUCGCUCAACGGAUAAAAGCUACCCCGGGGAUAACAGGCUUAUCUCCCCCAAGAGUUCACAUCGACGGGGAGGUUUGGCACCUCGAUGUCGGCUCAUCGCAUCCUGGGGCUGUAGUCGGUCCCAAGGGUUGGGCUGUUCGCCCAUUAAAGCGGUACGCGAGCUGGGUUCAGAACGUCGUGAGACAGUUCGGUCCCUAUCCGUCGUGGGCGUAGGAAAUUUGAGAGGAGCUGUCCUUAGUACGAGAGGACCGGGAUGGACAUACCUCUGGUGUACCAGUUGUCGUGCCAACGGCAUAGCUGGGUAGCUAUGUGUGGACGGGAUAAGUGCUGAAAGCAUCUAAGCAUGAAGCCCCCCUCAAGAUGAGAUUUCCCAACUUCGGUUAUAAGAUCCCU
rnacentral:rRNA from 1 species